rnacentral:misc_RNA from 1 species
GUAUAAUUUUGUUUAAUACAAGAAAUGAAUUUUAUAUAUAACAAUGGUGCCUUACAUCUGGUUACAAUACCGAGUGAGCUCCCACAAAGCGCUCAUGACUGACUCAAUCAUCAAAAUCAUGGUAAAAAAAAAUUACUAUAAUAAGGAAUUAUAGUAUGUACAGAAUCAAUUCCUAGCCCUAAAAAGCUGCAGCAUUUUCUGUAAUGCUGUUCAACUUUUAUCCAUUAUUUUUUUUAUUUUUAUUAUUUGUCCUAAUACUGUUAUUCUCUCUCUAACAUUUAAUUAGUUAUGUAUUGGAGGCUUUCUUCUUGCUGGAGAAUAGUCCAUAAUGUCCACAUAGUGAUCAUCGUGGGUCACCUCCUGGUGCUCAGAAGUUGGCGAUGAAUUAAUGGUAAAUUUCUCUCGUUCCCCAACUACUUCUCCAUUACUUGAUCUGUCCUUUGAAGACAUUGAAUUAGCUUUGUUUUCUCCUCUAUUUUCCUCAUUCUUGGAGGAGGUGGUGGUGGGAGAAGUAGUAGAGGUGGUCACAGUAGUAAGUUUUCUAUUCAUUCCUGCAACCAUAGAUAUCAGAAACCAUUAACUAAGUAUAUGUCAUGAUAUGGACUGAUAAAACUAGACAGGUUAUGUGAGUAUUCAAGAAAUUAACUAGUAAAUAAUAAUAAUAUAGUUUGAUCUGCUUCUUGGGGGGCAAAACUUGCUUUGUGGAGUACAUGAACAUGGGUUUAAGUCUUAUAAAACCCAGCAGCUGGCUCCUAUGUCAGAGUUCCAAAAUUAGUUGCUAAAUAAAAACAUGAAUUUCAAGUCAUCAAUAUCAUCCUAGCUAGCUAGAUUGAGAACUGAGAAACUAAUGGUGUAUAGUUUUGUGAUGCCUAGGUCCACAGUAAUCUUCAUGAAUUCUUGGUAAUGGGUGGGGUGGUGAUGAUUUCUUGGAUACUGCAGAGACUCUUUUCUUCAAGGUACCUGUACAAUGCCCUUCUUUGCAGAGAAUAACCUCUCCAAAAGCACCACUACUUCUUUCUAUCAGGGAACUCUUGUCCUCAUGGAUUUUUUGAUGCCCAACUUGCAUAAAUCCUUUUUCCAAGCGAAUCCCUUUAGCCUCGUGGAGGAGAAAGGACAGAAGCAGAAGAGAGACUAAUAAAGAAGGCUUCAUCUGGAGAAAAUAUUUGUGAAGAAUAGGAGUGGGAGAUGGGUAAGGACUAGCAAUAGCAGUUUUGGUACACCUAAGGUCAGGUACAGAAUGUGGGUUUCUCUUAAACUUUGGCUACUCCCUCUUAAAACUUGAAUCUGAU